rnacentral:rRNA from 1 species
UGGGGAAUAUUGGGCAAUGGGCGAAAGCCUGACCCAGCGACGCCGCGUGGGCGAUGAAGGCCUUCGGGUUGUAAAGCCCUGUCAUGCGGAAAGAACGACCCUGUGACGCAUACUCACAGGGAGUGACGGUACCGCAGGAGGAAGCACCGGCUAACUCCGUGCCAGCAGCCGCGGUAAUACGGAGGGUGCAAGCGUUGUUCGGAAUUAUUGGGCGUAAAGGGCGCGUAGGCGGUAAUGUAAGUCAGAUGUGAAAUACUUCGGCUCAACUGAAGAACUGCAUCUGAAACUGCAUAACUAGAGUACAGAAGAGGGAAACGGAAUUCCCGGUGUAGAGGUGAAAUUCGUAGAUAUCGGGAGGAACACCAGUGGCGAAGGCGGUUUCCUGGUCUGAUACUGACGCUGAGGCGCGAAAGUGUGGGGAGCAAACAGG